GGCUGGUUAGCUCAGUCGGUUGAGCAUGAUGCUGAUAACACCAAGACUGCGGGUUCAAUUCCCAUUCGGUUC
rnacentral:tRNA from 1 species